GAUGAACGCUGGCGGCGUGCCUAAUACAUGCAAGUCGAGCGAACGGACGAGAAGCUUGCUUCUCUGAUGUUAGCGGCGGACGGGUGAGUAACACGUGGAUAACCUACCUAUAAGACUGGGAUAACUUCGGGAAACCGGAGCUAAUACCGGAUAAUAUUUUGAACCGCAUGGUUCAAUAGUGAAAGACGGUCUUGCUGUCACUUAUAGAUGGAUCCGGGCUGCAUUAGCUGGUUGGUAAGGUAACGGCUUACCAAGGCAACGAUGCAUAGCCGACCUGAGAGGGUGAUCGGCCACACGGGAACUGAGACACGGUCCAGACUCCUACGGGAGGCAGCAGUAGGGAAUCUUCCGCAAUGGGCGAAAGCCUGACGGAGCAACGCCGCGUGAGUGAUGAAGGUCUUCGGAUCGUAAAACUCUGUUAUUAGGGAAGAACAUAUGUGUAAGUAACUGUGCACAUCUUGACGGUACCUAAUCAGAAAGCCACGGCUAACUACGUG
rnacentral:rRNA from 1 species